CCAGACUCCUACGGGAGGCAGCAGUGAGGAAUAUUGGUCAAUGGCCGCAGGGCUGAACCAGCCAAGUCGCGUGAGGGAUGACGGUCCUAUGGAUUGUAAACCUCUUUUGUCAGGGAGCAAAGGGCGCCACGUGUGGCGUUUUGCGAGUACCUGAAGAAAAAGCAUCGGCUAACUCCGUGCCAGCAGCCGCGGUAAUACGGAGGAUGCGAGCGUUAUCCGGAUUUAUUGGGUUUAAAGGGUGCGCAGGCGGAAUGUCAAGUCAGCGGUAAAAAUUCGGGGCUCAACCCCGUCGUGCCGUUGAAACUGAUGUUCUUGAGUGGGCGAGAAGUAUGCGGAAUGCGUGGUGUAGCGGUGAAAUGCAUAGAUAUCACGCAGAACUCCGAUUGCGAAGGCAGCAUACCGGCGCCCAACUGACGCUGAAGCACGAAAGCGUGGGUAUCGAACAGGAUUAGAUACCCGCGUAAA
rnacentral:rRNA from 1 species